GACGAACGCUGGCGGCGUGCUUAACACAUGCAAGUCGAACGGUGAAGGGGUCUGCUUUUGUGGGCCCUGGAUGAGUGGCGCACGGGUGAGUAACACGUGAGUAACCUGCCCCCUUCUUCUGGAUAACCGCAUGAAAGUGUGGCUAAUACGGGAUAUUCUGGGUCUGUCGCAUGAUGGGUCUGGGAAAGAUUGCGCCUUUGGGUGUUUUUGGUGGGGGAUGGGCUCGCGGCCUAUCAGCUUGUUGGUGGGGUGAUGGCCUACCAAGGCGGUGACGGGUAGCCGGCCUGAGAGGGUGGACGGUCACACUGGGACUGAGACACGGCCCAGACUCCUACGGGAGGCAGCAGUGGGGAAUAUUGCACAAUGGGCGCAAGCCUGAUGCAGCGCCGCCGCGUGAGGGAUGGAGGCCUUCGGGGUGUAAACCUCUUUCGCCAGUGAAGCAGGCCUGCUCCUUGUGGGUGGGUUGACGGUAGCUGGAUAAGAAGCGCCGGCUAACUACGUG
rnacentral:rRNA from 1 species